UACGUAGGGCGCGAGCGUUUGUCCGGAAUUAUUGGGCGUAAAGAGCUCGUAGGCGGCCUGUUGCGUCCGCUGUGAAAACUCGGGGCUUAACCCCGAGCCUGCAGUGGAUACGGGCAGACUAGAGGUAGGUAGGGGAGAAUGGAAUUCCCGGUGUAGGCGGUGAAAUGCGCAGAUAUCGGGAGGAACACCGGUGGCGAAGGCGGUUCUCUGGGCCUUACCUGACGCUGAGGAGCGAAAGCGUGGGGAGCGAACAGG
rnacentral:rRNA from 1 species